CGGGAUGUAGCGCAGCUUGGUAGCGCACUUCGUUCGGGACGAAGGGGUCGUGGGUUCGAAUCCCGCCAUCCCGA
rnacentral:tRNA from 1 species